UCCCUCUUUUUCCCUCUUUUUUCUUCCUUCCUUUUCUUCCCUUUCUCUUAUUCUUCCUUUUAAUUCUAACGUGAAAUCCCCGGGCUCAACCCGGGAACUGCGUCCGAUACUGGCAGGCUUGAAUCCGGGAGAGGGAUGCGGAAUUCCAGGUGUAGCGGUGAAAUGCGUAGAUAUGACAUAGAAUACCCAUUGCGAAGGCAGCUAACUACGCGAUAAUUGACGCUGAUGCACGAAAGCGUGGGGAUCAAACAGG
rnacentral:rRNA from 1 species